rnacentral:lncRNA from 1 species
GGAUCAAGAGAUAUAGCCAAAAUAAAAUUGGAACAAAAUCUGUCCAAAACUCUACCAUGGCAGCGUUUCUGAAAUUGCUGUCGUGGGAACGAAUUUGGAGCUGUUGUUGUGUCAUGGCUGCUACUACCAAGGGUUGCCACAUGGCGUGACGCUGAUGGUUGGAGUUGUUCACGAUGAGGCUUAAUUGGUGGACGACCGACAUAUAAGAGAAAAACGGUUCGAUCGUUCUAAUAAAAAUAGGGGAUCUAAUAUUGAUCGUUGAUGUGCGAUCGCAUGGUUGUGGGCGGCUCACCAGAGAAGAACAUGGAGAAGUGACUGUAGGACUCAAUGAAGACCGGCGCGAGCAGAUCGGGGCUGGCGAUGCCGACGGCUACGGUGGGUGUCCGACGAAUCAGGAGAUACUGGAUGAGGGACGGUGUGCAUACAGAGAUGGCGAACUCGGGAACGUCUUCAGGUACAACUAGGGUAUCUUCUGCGACAAGAUGAUGCGGCUAGAGCGGCGGCGGCAAAGUUGGACUUCAGGUCAAGGUCAACAUGCUUGAUAUGGUGCUCCUGUGCGUGAAAUAAUAGGUGAGGAAAGCAUAGGAUACCAA